GGGCUUGCUCGCUGGGGGAAGUGGCGAAAGGGGCAGUAAGGCAUGGGUAACCUACCCUGAGGACCGGGAUAGCCCUCCUAACGGAGGGGUAAUACCGGGCGCGGUAGCUGGAUCGCAUGACCCGGCUAUGGAAUGAAUUUCGCCUCGGGAGGGGCUCAUGUAGUAUUAGCUAGUUGGUAGGGUAACGGCCUACCAAGGCAAAGAUGCUUAGCGGGUGUGAGAGCACGACCCGCGCCACUGGCACUGAGACACUGGCCAGACUCCUACGGGAGGCUGCAGUCGAGGAUCUUCGGCAAUGGGCGCAAGCCUGACCGAGCGACGCCGCGUGUGCGAUGAAGGCCUUCGGGUUGUAAAGCACUGUCGAGGGGGAGGAAGCCGCAAGGUUGACCUAUCCCUGGAGGAAGCACGGGCUAAGUUCGUGCCAGCAGCCGCGGUAAGACGAACCGUGCGAACGUUGUUCGGAUUCACUGGGCUUAAAGGGCGCGUAGGCGGGCCACUCAGUCCGGGGUGAAAUCUUUCGGCUUAACCGGAAACGUGCCUUGGAGACGGGUGGUCUGGAGGGAGAUAGGGGCAGGUGGAACUUCCGGUGGAGCGGUGAAAUGCGUUGAUAUCGGAAGGAACGCCGGUGGCGAAAGCGACCUGCUGGAUCUCUACUGACGCUG
rnacentral:rRNA from 1 species